CUGCAGUGUAGAGUGGUUCUCUUUAGGCUGGGUAGCUGUUGGUCUUCAGUAUGGUUCCCCAGAGAGUCAUUGUGGGAUUUCUUCUGAUUGUGCUUGUCUCUAAUGUGUUUGGGUCUCUGGCUGAGCAUGAGCAGGCACGUGCAGAGGGGCUCAUCUUAGCCCGGCUGAGGCAGAGAGAGCAAAGGUGAAGCAAAACAGCUGUUCCAGGGUGAUGGAGAUGAAGGUUCAGGCUCUGGGGAUUCUGCAGAGGUAGUAGUGCUGACAUGAGGAGAAAAUGUGAAGGGGAUUGUGGCUGUCCAAGUGAGUGUCAAUGUCCCAUAAUUCUGCAGCGUCUGAGCAUGUGUGGCGGUCGAUCUGUGCAUGACCUCACAGACUCCACCAGUUCAAAGCCUCCUGGAUUCUUCAUCCCUGAAUAAAACUCGGUUC